GAUGAAGAACGCAGCGAAAUGCGAUAAGUAAUGUGAAUUGCAGAAUUCAGUGAAUCAUCGAAUCUUUGAACGCACAUUGCGCCCCCUGGCAUUCCGGGGGGCAUGCCUGUUCGAGCGUCAUUACAACCCUCAAGCUCUGCUUGGUAUUGGGCUCUGCUGGGACCGGCAGGCCUUAAAAUCAGUGGCGGCGCCACUCGGCUUCAAGCGUAGUAAUUCUUCUCGCUUCGGAGACCCGGGUGCGUGCUAGCCAGCAACCCCCAACUUUCUUAGGUUGACCUCGGAUCAGGUAGGGAUACCCGCUGAACUUAAGCAUAUCAAUAAGCGGAGA
rnacentral:misc_RNA from 1 species